rnacentral:rRNA from 1 species
GUUAAGCGACUAAGCGUACACGGUGGAUGCCCUGGCAGUCAGAGGCGAUGAAGGACGUGCUAAUCUGCGAUAAGCGUCGGUAAGGUGAUAUGAACCGUUAUAACCGGCGAUUUCCGAAUGGGGAAACCCAGUGUGUUUCGACACACUAUCAUUAACUGAAUCCAUAGGUUAAUGAGGCGAACCGGGGGAACUGAAACAUCUAAGUACCCCGAGGAAAAGAAAUCAACCGAGAUUCCCCCAGUAGCGGCGAGCGAACGGGGAGGAGCCCAGAGCCUGAAUCAGUGUGUGUGUUAGUGGAAGCGUCUGGAAAGGCGCGCGAUACAGGGUGACAGCCCCGUACACAAAAAUGCACAUACUGUGAGCUCGAUGAGUAGGGCGGGACACGUGGUAUCCUGUCUGAAUAUGGGGGGACCAUCCUCCAAGGCUAAAUACUCCUGACUGACCGAUAGUGAACCAGUACCGUGAGGGAAAGGCGAAAAGAACCCCGGCGAGGGGAGUGAAAAAGAACCUGAAACCGUGUACGUACAAGCAGUGGGAGCCUCUUUUAUGGGGUGACUGCGUACCUUUUGUAUAAUGGGUCAGCGACUUAUAUUCUGUAGCAAGGUUAACCGAAUAGGGGAGCCGAAGGGAAACCGAGUCUUAACUGGGCGUUAAGUUGCAGGGUAUAGACCCGAAACCCGGUGAUCUAGCCAUGGGCAGGUUGAAGGUUGGGUAACACUAACUGGAGGACCGAACCGACUAAUGUUGAAAAAUUAGCGGAUGACUUGUGGCUGGGGGUGAAAGGCCAAUCAAACCGGGAGAUAGCUGGUUCUCCCCGAAAGCUAUUUAGGUAGCGCCUCGUGAACUCAUCUCCGGGGGUAGAGCACUGUUUCGGCAAGGGGGUCAUCCCGACUUACCAACCCGAUGCAAACUGCGAAUACCGGAGAAUGUUAUCACGGGAGACACACGGCGGGUGCUAACGUCCGUCGUGAAGAGGGAAACAACCCAGACCGCCAGCUAAGGUCCCAAAGUCAUGGUUAAGUGGGAAACGAUGUGGGAAGGCCCAGACAGCCAGGAUGUUGGCUUAGAAGCAGCCAUCAUUUAAAGAAAGCGUAAUAGCUCACUGGUCGAGUCGGCCUGCGCGGAAGAUGUAACGGGGCUAAACCAUGCACCGAAGCUGCGGCAGCGACACUAUGUGUUGUUGGGUAGGGGAGCGU